AUGCACUUAUGGUUGAACACAAAUUUCAAUGCAACUAGUAAAUGACAAUUACACGACAAAAAUCUUAGCCCAAACAGAAAAUAACAAUACAUAACGACUUUACAAGUUUUUGUUGAUAAUCCUCUAUUAAUUGGAGUCAAUUAUCGAUCAAAGAUUGAUAUUUCAUCUUAUUGGUUAGUAGAGGAGUAUCUUGAGCUCCAAUACUUCUCAAUUUCCUCAGCAGUUCUUCCGGGAAUUCUUCCAGCAAUCAAUGACCACCUAAAUCAAUAAAAAUAAAUAAAAUUACACUACUUAUUCUUAAUUUUUCGAAGAAAAUUCGUAGAGAAAAAGAAUUAGAAAUUAAUACAUUACAAGGGGAGAAAAAAAAUAAAAAUGAAAUCACCUUUCUCCAACUAAAUUAUACAUCCUAGUAAUUAGGGUUUUCUCAUCUUCAGUAAUAUCUGGCUUAGGAUUUUGACAGGUACUUUCUGCAGCUACCUCUUCUUGUAGGAAUCAAUCGAUACAGUGCAAGAGAAAAGUAUUAACAACACGUAAAACAUACAUAUAAUUCACAUGUAUAGAACAAAAAAUACUACGAUAUUUAUUUUUAAAAAAAAAAGUUGCAUGAUAUUUCAAAAUUCUACUUGUACUGCUACAAGAAAUAGAGCUAAACUCUGAAUAAACGCUUACCUCUAGAGUCCACAGAUGCAUCAAUUUUAUCAGAAAUCGUUGAGUUACCCAAAUCAGCCAUUAGGGUUCUUAAAAAGGCUAACUGCACAAAAGUAUUUUAAAGUCGAAUGGUUGGUAAAUUUUUUUGGAAACAAGUGUGGGAGGAAUGAUAGGUCUCUGUAUAUAAAGUAGAAUUAGGAGGAAAGGUAGCUAAGGGUGAUUCGAGGAAACAAAGGGGGAAUUGAAUUGCUAGUUUUAGAAGGAGAAUGGGUAGUUGACAGAGAAAGAGUUAACUCAAGAAGGG
rnacentral:lncRNA from 1 species